UAUUGCUGAGUGUGGCAUAAACUAAACUCACAAUAUGCAUUCAUGACAUGUUCGGAAUAAGAAUCUUAUCAGCGCCAUAGGAGUAUGUUCAUUUCAAGGAGAGAAGGACGACCAUCCAGCAGACGGAAUAGAGAAACUUAUCAGCGGAUUAACACAAUGCAACGACCUUUCCAACACAGUGAGCAAAAAAUUAAUGGAAAUUGCAGCAGAUGUAGAUGACCUUGAACAAAACAAGCGCCUCACGAAAGUAAUUUGUGCUGGCACGGGACUCAUUGGAGCUGCUCUGUCAAUAUCCGGUCUCUUGCUUGGCCCUGUUGGAAUGCCCCUUGCACUGGUGGGUGCUGCUGUCGGUGUUGGAGGGUGUAGGUGAAGUAGCAGUGUCACUUGUCGUCGGAGCAAAGACAAAACAGAAAAUCCAAGAAGCCCAAACAUUUUUAUUGGAAUUCGAGGAUGUUUGCAAAACCUUCGAGAUGACAUGCACGUCCAACAUAUGGUUGUCCUGGCAUCAGUGUGGACUGUAGCACAUCGCACAAUGCUGCUGCGUGCGUUUUCGAUGUUAUGGACGACAUCGUUGUAAAACGGACUUAAGGCAUCGAAGUUUGUAGGAGUGGUCCUGUCUGCCCUUCUGGUACCUUUAGAAGCGUACAAGUUGAUUUCAAAUGUUGCGGAGUUAAUUGAAAGAAAACCUCUGCUGUUGCUGCGAAACUCCGUUCGAAGGCUAAUGAAAUGAAAGAUCUUUCGAAAGAUCUUGAUAAGAAAAUACCAGAUCUUGUGACCAUCCUACAUGACUCUUGAGAGUAACUUUGAAUCCUCCAGGUACCACUGCACACAACAUGCAAGACCGGAGUCCGACGAUAAGGUCCGCGUGUUGAAAGCUAGAGACGUACUCAGAGCCAGUGGUUACGGAAUCGCUAAUGACUUAACCAAACAUCUGAAGAAUAACAAUAUCUUUCAGAUUAUCCAGAAUGAAGAUAACUCUAUAGAUGACUCACCCCUAUACUCGAUGACAUAGACAGACAGGUGCUAGACUGCAAUAUUACAGACAGUGAAAUUCUGAAUGUCAUUAAUAGUCUUAAAUGUGGUAAAUCACCUGGUCUCGAUCUGGUUCUUGUGGAAAUGUUCAAAUGUUGAAGUUCUGAAAUUCUGCCAUUUCUUAGUAAAUGUUUUAACAAAAUAUUCAAUGAUGGCUACUUUCCAGAAGUCUGGUCAAGUUCAAUUAUUGUCCCAGUUCAUAAAAAGGAGAUGUAAACAACCCAGUGAGUGAGUGAGUUUAGUUUUACGCCGCACUCAGCAAUAUUCCAGCUAUAUGGCGGCGGUCUG
rnacentral:misc_RNA from 1 species